rnacentral:misc_RNA from 1 species
AACGCACAUUGCGCCCCCUGGUAUUCUGGGGGGCAUGCCUGUUCGAGCGUCAUUACACCACUCAAGCCUCGCUUGGUAUUGGGCGCCGCGGUCCGCCGCGCGCCUCAAUGUUACCGGCUGAGCUCUCUGUCUCUAAGCGUUGUGGCUAAACUUAUUCCGCUUGCGAGCUCGGGGGGCGUCUGCGCCGUUAAACCCAUACUCAAAGGUUGACCUCGGAUCAGGUAGGGAUACCCGCUGAACUUAA